AUACGGAUGGUGCGAGCGUUGUUCGGAAUUACUGGGCGUAAAGGGCGCGUAGGCGGCGAUGUAAGUCAAAUGUGAAAGUCCUCGGCUUAACCGGGGAAGUGCAUCUGAAACUGCAUUGCUCGAGUAUGGGAGAGGAAAGUGGAAUUCCCGGUGUAGAGGUGAAAUUCGUAGAGAUCGGGAGGAAUACCGGUGGCGAAGGCGACUUUCUGGACCAAUACUGACGCUGAGGCGCGAAAGCGUGGGGAGCAAACAGGAUUAGAAACCCUAGUAGUCC
rnacentral:rRNA from 1 species